GUCCGAGUCGUAAGCAUGCUGCCACAAGAUGGGUUUGUAGGCCCUCUCGAUAUUUCUGGAUUCCGCACCGAUGGCUUUCAUGGCUUUGGUGUCCAGAAAACGUUGGGCUUCGCGUAUGCCUAACGUCGACGCAAUACAGAGAAAGUUCGGGUCUACAAGGGGCGGUCCUUUGGGGUCCACUACGUUAAGACGGACAGUUCCGGUACUCUUGGGAUGCAGCAGAGUCACGGAAAUAGAGAACCCCUGUCUGGAGCCGAAGAUCUUCGCCCCCGAUGCCAGAUAGUCAGUAAAUAUCUGCAGAAACCGACGGAACCACGUGGAAUUGAAUAUCCGGCAUCCCCGGCGGCGUGGCCGAGCCUAACCGGAAGAACGCCAGUUCCGUUAUAGGGGAGACCCGCAGCCAACCUAGGAAUAGGAGAAACAAUGAAGCGGGUGUUCCUGUUAAACCAUGUGUC